rnacentral:lncRNA from 1 species
CCCGGGUUAGGUCACUGACCAGGGAGACAGCCAGGCCUCUGCUAGGUCACAAAGGCAUACCUGAGCCUUGCCAAGGAGAGGAGCUGGGCAGCUUGUGGGGGGUUGGGGGGUGGGUUUGUUCUGUUUUGUUUUUAUCCUAAAGUACAAGGUUGUGAGCAAAUGCAGACUAUGCACAGUGGCUGAGGACCUUGUGGGACUGUCAGUGCAGGGAGUGAGGCAGGGAAGACCAGGACAGCAGAAUCUGGCUGUGAAACAAUUCACAGUACCUUUUAGGUUUUCUACAAAAACUUAUUCAGUUCACAGCACUGGGGGUCGAGUUCUCUCUCUCUCUCUCUCUCUCUCUCUCUCUCUCUCUCUCUCUCUCUCUCUCUCUCUCUCUUCAAAAAGAAAGAAAAGUUGUAGGCAGAAGAAGCAGAACUAGACCCAUCAGAAUCCUAGCAAUAAGUCAGCUUGUCCAGAAAGCUAAGCAGAGACUCACAUGGGGCAAAGUUUGCCUGAGAGGCCGGAGGCUGAAGACAGCUUUUCUAGCCACAUGGCCCUGCUCCUCUGCUUGGGGAUCCCAGGCAGCGCUCCCUUCCUGCAGCUUCAGGUUGCUUGCCCCUGCCCUCCUGUGCGCAGCCAGACAUACCGGAGAUCCACACCCCCUUCUAGGAAGAAAGAUAGAUGUGGAGGCUCAAAGUGCCCACUCUUUUCCCAGCUGGACCUCCAGCUCCUCACCCAAGGAUUUCUGGUUCUGUGUCUUGUGGUUCCCUCUGUCACAUGCCUAACUCUGGUCUGUUUUGAUGCGGAUGCCGGAAGCCAGUGGAACAUGUAGCCUCUCGCAUAUCAACCUCGUGUCAUUUUCCGCCCCUCCCCCAGCCUUGUUCAUUUCCCCUCAUCUCCAUCUUGAUGCCAAGACACGGUCCAAGCCAGGCAUCAAAGGCUGCAUAAUGUCUCCUCCCACAGGUAUUGGUGGUUACUUAGGACCAUUGCCUACUAGUGAAACAAUCAACCUCAACCCAGCUUUGCCCUUCUGAGCCCCUGAAAGAUCAGCUCGAAUGGGGCUGGGAACAUGGAGGGGCGUGCUGCCUGCACAUGGACCUGUGAAGUAGUCAGGGCUUCUGUCCCACGUGGCUGCCCCAAAACCUUUGUGAGGUACUGCCCUCUGUACAGUAAGCCGUCAUAGUGUACAUCCGUUUACUUUUAUAGUAAGAGACAUAGAAGAAGAGGGCACAGUUUUAAAACAAUGAUAUGUAAAACAGUGCGAAGGUAUGAUUUCCUCUCUGAACUAAGUGUGACCGUGGGUAACUCUUGGUGUGUUGGACACCCACUUGAACAGCCACUACCCUGGCCCAGAUCAGAAUACGGCAAUGGCAUCCCGAACCACUGUAUGGCACUCAGCCUGCGGAAGGGGAAAGUCACAGAGCAAUCCCCAAGAGCUUUGAGUCUGAGAAGUCUGAGGCAAACAAACUCACACAGGAUCAAUUUAAGUAACAGAGAACACUGACAGGGGAGCUGUUCCUAGACAGCAGUGGCUACCGGUGCUAAGAACAGACACACUGUACAAAGCCAGGCUUUGUUCACCUUCCCUCCCUGGGUCCCCCAGAAAGGACAUUGUCAGUACCCCAUCACUCUCCUGAAUGGAAGUCUUUGAACCCUCAAAGUGAUUAGGCUAUACCAAUCCCAUGGCACCAGUGGACUGUGGCUUGAAUAUUUUUGAUCUGACUUAUCAAAAUGUUCUGAUGAUUCUGUUCCAUUUUGAAAAGGGUCUGAGAAAGUAUACAAGUCUAAUUAUAUCUACAUAUUUAUACAUGUGUAUUUUUGUUUAUUGUUACAUUUUGACAUUGGACUUUCUAUUAAAUAAUUUUUAACAGUU